UUGUGAGGAAAAUUGUUUCACCUGUCUGGUAGAUACAUCACCCCCGCGCGUUGCCUUGAGAAACGUCUGUGUAAAGGACUUCUGACGCCUGCAUGUGCAACACUGCUGAGAUCUUUCAGGAAGAUGUUAUCAGAAGGGUUUUGGUCUGAAGAAUGUUUGAUUGAAAAUGAAGGACAAAAUUACACGGGAGCAAUAUCACCAGCAAAUGUUAAAGAGUGUAUAUCCAGAGAAUAGGUCUAAGACCAAACAUGAGAAAUCCUGCCUGUCCCAGCCCCGAGGACGUCACUUCAUGUCUCAGCCCUGAGGAUGUCAUUUCCUGUGAACCACCAAGAAAACCUCUC